CUCCUCUCAUUUAGAUGAGAACAAACUCUCUCAAGAGCUCAAACUUACCCAAACAAGUAGCCUGAUAUCAUCUAGGACCCUCAGUUCUCAUUUGAAUAUCUCACAUUCCGGUAUGAUUGCAUCACAUCUUGACAAUCCAAUGCCACCCACAUGGCACCUCGGCUAACCACCUAGGCCACGUGGACAAUCUAAAAAUGUGUACCCACAGUUUUAAACCUAGAAAGACAACAAAUAUAUACCAAUACAUCUAUUAUCAGUUCAUGACUCUUCUAUAGUAAUUUGUGAGAAGCAGCCACGUCGCCUUUUGCUACAGUUUUGGUGAGUGGAAGAGAUCUACGUCUCCAAAUUUCUCAAUCUGUUAUCUCAGAAUGAAUUCUUUAUUCCUAUCUCAAACUCACAUAGCCCCUCUCUCUUAACGGCAAUAGACGAUGUCGAAUAGCUCUCGCUUCGGGCCACCAUCAUCAUAGUAAGCUCUGCUUCGAGGCUUUUCAUCUUUAAUUGAAGCCCUUGAUCCUCCAUUGAAGCUUAUUUGAGAUCAGAUAUGUCCUUGUUAGUGAUAGCACUAGAGUUUCUCUCAUCAACUCAACCUCUCUGCUUUUAAAAUAGGAAUAAAAUACUCGACGAGUUCUAUACAUUGAACAGUUCGAAUUAUUGAUGCGAGCUCUGUAGUAAGCCCACAAUAUCUCUAAGGAAGAGGGAGAAAAGAGCAACACCCGAAAAUUCAACGGCGAUAGAAACUUAAAAUUUUCAGAUUAAAAUAAUACCCUUCACACACCUUACCUUUUUAACUCAAUCACUAGGGGUAGGAAAUGGGUAGAACUAAAAAAUGGUGAAAAGAGACGUGAGGAAGAAGAUAAGAAUAAAAAAGUAGAUAUUUCUAGCAUUUGGGUUCUAUUUAUAGACAAACGCAUUGUGGGCACAAAGAACACACCGCAUGCGUGAAAGUCACAAUCACGGGCCCAGAUUCCCACACCGUGGGCGAGAUCCCAAAGUCGCGGUCUACUUUUGCGCCCUUCGCAGGCCACAAACUUUUAUCAGGUAAAGGACUUGAAGGUGUGUUUUGGUCAUGGGCUACAUCAUGGGCGCCUGAAAAGAGGAGACAACAACAAAUACUUUGGGAUGAAGUUACUGCUGCUGAUGCACUUCAAAGAGAAACUGCAAGGAGGCAACAAACUGUUGAACAUUAUACCCUUAGCAGUUCUCUAAUUAUUGCUACCACUUCUGAAACUAGUAAUUUCCUUUUGUAUCUCUAGUUUCCUUUCUCAAGUUUUCAAUACUGAAACUUAAUAUUGCUUCGUAUUUCU